UUACAUAGUCUGAUUUAAUUUUCAGCUCCAAACCUUUUCAGCUACUUUCAAUCCCUUCUUUUAGCAUUAGAGCUUGCCAAUCUAACCAAUUAAUGGUCAGAUUUGCAAACUGUAGCUAAUAACCAAUAAAAACAACUUAACACACAUUUACAAAGCUUCAAAUAAAGAAAAAUAUGGUAGAAUUCCUAUGUAUCCCACAGCUAAAUCUGCUUGACCUUUAACAACAUUCUCAACCUAAAAAUGUAAAAAUGGACAUUCAGUAACUGAUGUCUUUAUACUAUUCAUGGCUAACAUGAAAUGUUUCUGAAAAAAGAAAGAAAGGGAAGAGAAGAAGACAGUAUAUGUAGCAUGUUUCAUUGGCUAAAGAUGUUCAUAGACCAUUUUUCAAUAUCCACAUACUUCAAAUAUUACACAAGUUAGCUGAAAAAUAACAGAAUGCAAACAAAAUAAAGCAAAUUUAAAGCUUCAAAGCGGGUUGGAAUCCUAAAAUCAUUACAAGAAUACACAAUCUAACUUCAUUCAUGCUCAAAUGUCUAAGAAAAUCAGCUUUUCAUUCAAAACAACUCAAAACAAGCAUACAAAGUUCAGAAAAAUACCUAGAAAAGAGGAAAAUUAGCUCAAAGAAAUAAGAAAAUCUCUAGUUCCUAGCUCAGCUCAACAACCAGUAGUGAAUCAAACCCCUCUGAAAAACUCCCAGCAAAACCCCAGAAAAUAGAAAGAAACUCAAAAAAAUUCUUCAGAAUGUUUUUUGGAAAGAGCUGGUUUUUAGCCGUUUGUGUUUUUUCCCUUUUUUCUAUGCCCUAAUGAUUGGAAAAUGGAUCUUUUUAUAGAGGAUAUUUAUAGGGCAGCAAGCCUGUUUUUCCUCACUCAAAUACACCCUAUAAACUCUUAAUUUAAUCUACUUACACCCCUGCCCAAAGAAUUUUCCCCCUCUUUUAUCUCUAAUAUGACCCUUGUCAGCUUUCUAGAAGCUUCCUAUAAACUUUCCUUAAACCUUAUCCAAUUCCAAACCCCAGCAGCCCUGUAUUUACCCUUUUUCUUUAUUUUUUUUACUGUUUUAUUGGUUUAAAACUCAGGGUACUGGACCUGGGUCAUUUAAACUUUAAGCCCAUUAAUUACUUGGGCUUUCGUACCAAGUCUGGGUUCUAAACCCAAAAACCAAACAACCUUAAAUAGAAAAUAGAACAACAUUCAAAUAAACAAAAGCUAACUGAUGCAUCUUUUAAGAAAACAUUAAAAAAAUAAUUAAAACUAAUUAACGAGCUAUUAAUCAUUGAUUAGUCCAUUAUGCCCUAAAAUAAUUCUAAUUACUCUUAGACAGAAAAUAAAAAUAAAAAGAUUCCAGUAGAUGAAUGUGAAGAAAAAAGGGGGAAGAAUUAUACCGAUGGAAACAAAAGCUUCAACAACUUAGAAGAGGCAGUAAUAGAUCCACUUGAGACUCCGACGAGCACAAAACUCGGCCAAAUGGUGGGAAUUGUUAUAUGAAUAUUAGCCAGACUUUUGUCCAUGGCCAAUGAUUCAUGCAACAAUCCUCAUCAUGUGCCAAGAAGAAAACGAGGCAGAAGCUUGAAGAAAUUGGAUCAUUCAAGGCUAUUUGCCCGAAAUCUGGCCAAAUCUAUGGGAAAGGCAUUCUUGACAUUAACGCACUCCCUUUGUUAAAAAACUGGGGAAUUCACACGGGUUUUAUCACGGAUUGAGGACCAAAUCAAGAAAAUUUGGACAAAAGACAAAAAGCUUGGAUUUUUAUUCUUGGAUCUCAAAUUUAGAGAAAUUGAGUGAUCUUUU
rnacentral:lncRNA from 1 species